GGGAGGGAGUGACUGGUGACAGAGGGAGGGAGUGACUGGUGACAGAGGGAGGGAGUGACUAGUGACAGAGAGAGGGAAGGGGUGACUGUCACUAGUCACCCCCUCACUCUGUCACUAGUCACCCCCUCUGUCCCUAGUCACUCCCUUCCUCACUCUGUCACUAGUCACCCCAUCCCUCUCUCUGUCACUAGUCACCCCAUCCCUCUCUCUGUCACUAGUCACCCCAUCCC